GAGACACGGUCCAAACUCCUACGGGAGGCAGCAGUGAGGAAUAUUGGUCAAUGGCCGGAAGGCUGAACCAGCCAAGUCGCGUGAGGGAAUAAGGCCCUAUGGGUCGUAAACCUCUUUUGUCAGGGAGCAAAGGCGUCCACGUGUGGACGAGAGGAGAGUACCUGAAGAAAAAGCAUCGGCUAACUCCGUGCCAGCAGCCGCGGUAAUACGGAGGAUGCGAGCGUUAUCCGGAUUUAUUGGGUUUAAAGGGUGCGUAGGCGGAGUGUCAAGUCAGCGGUAAAAUUUCGGGGCUCAACCCCGUCGUGCCGUUGAAACUGACACCCUUGAGUGAGUGAGAAGUAAGCGGAAUGCGUGGUGUAGCGGUGAAAUGCAUAGAUAUCACGCAGAACGCCGAUUGCGAAGGCAGCUUACCGGCGCUCAACUGACGCUGAGGCACGAAAGUGCGGGUAUCGAACAGGAUUAGAUACCCUGGUAGUCCGCACAGUAAACGAUGAAUGCUAGAUGUCCGGGGCGAAUGAGCUUUGG
rnacentral:rRNA from 1 species